rnacentral:snoRNA from 1 species
AAUCCAUGCAUCGGGCAUUUUUGAAUUAAAUCUUUGAAUUGUUCCCAAGCUUCAUAUAGUGUUUCAUCCUCUAAUUGCCGAAAAGAUGUGAUGUCAUUUAUAUGCUU